GCCGCCUCCUCCUCUCCCUCCCUCCCGCAGCCGCCUGCCUCCCUCCCUCCCGCACGCCUCCUUUCCUCCCUCCCGCACGCCUCCUCUCCUCCCACCCACAUCGCCGCCGCCGCCACCCACCUCCUUGAACUGCACCGUCGGCGGCCAGAUCCACCGCAACAAACCCCCCUUCCCUCCCCCCCAACGAUGAUGAGCAACAGCAGAGGGAGGAUGAGGAGCACGACGACGGCGGCGGCGGAGAGCAGCAGCAAUAGGCGGCACAGCAGCAGGCCUUGGGCAAGAUUCCUCCGACCCCCGUCCUGCGUCACCUCUCCUCCGACCACGCCGCCGUGCUGCACGACGGCAAGUGGGCGCCCGCCCUCCCCGUCCUGCGAUGGCCGAGAUCCAGUUCGUCGCCCUUGUCCUUGCCUUACCUCACGUCUCCCCCGCCACCACCCACUGGCAGGAGGCCCCCGCCACUCCUCUUGCGCCUCCACCACGUCGUCGUCACUGGGAGGAGGUGCUCAUUGCCUCCGGGAAGCACCACGGCCACUGGAUCCGUUGCUACGUUCGUCGAUCUGUAUGUGAUUGUUUGUUUUGGACCGUCUCAGUUCUGGUUAACUGGAGCUCAUCCAUGGUUGUACCUUUUCCCCUUUUUUCCAUUGCAGUUUGGUCCGCUAUCUACAGGUUCUCGUUGUUCUGGUCAGUUCUUCAUGUUCUGUCUUCGGCCAGCCCUUUGCAGGCUGACUCCUUCGCUCCCUCUCUUCUCUGCUUUCCAGGCCCAUGCUUGCAUUUUUGCGGCCAUGUAUACAUUCGAUGUUAGAUUUUGUCUAUAAAAUGGUUGUAUUUGUUUUUUGUUCUGUUAUUGGUAGAAGCCUAGCAUCUAAAAUUAUUAUUCCCUGCUUGUUUUUUGUGCUUGCUUGGCAUUUGGAAUUGGGGAUUUUUGUCACUUCUCUAGAUCCUGGUAGGACCUAGGAUUUUUUGUACCUUUCUGCUGUAUCCUAGAAGUAGCCUAUUGAUUUGUUUGUUGGAACUGCUCAUAUGUGUGCGUUGUUGGGGCUACCAAACAAACCGAUAUUGUUCUAGAAAUGAUCUAUAAAAAUUGUUCAUUGGUUAGCUGAAGUAGUAUGCUGUCAGGAAGACAUUCACUGGGCUGGUCCAUUUAGGCUGGCAAGCUUGGUUUGCGUCCAUCCUGUCUGCUUCUUUUGGGUGUCAUCUAGGUUUAUUUACUCUUUUAGGUUCCUACUUUAGUGAUCAUGGAUCCUUAGGUUUGUUUGAUUUAAUGGAAUUGGGACCUACAUGUUUUUUUCCUAUUUGAAUGAAUGUAGGUUAUGUUUUUCUUAAGCAUUGAACCUCCUUGCAAAGAAUGUGUGGAAAUGUGGUUUUGCUCUCUGAGAUGGUUGUGCUCAAAUUUAUGGUUCUUGAUUAAUGUUUUUUUUACUUUCUGCUAGUUUGUUUCUUUCGGUUUGGUGGUGGCCUUGGAAUCCUGUUGACUCUUGGAAACUGCUGGACCCUAUUGUUAUUCUUUGGUUCAUAAGCAUCAGUCUAGAUUGAUCUCCCACCCCGCGGCAAUAGGAUAUUGGCAACUCACUUGGAAAUUCAUUGAGAAUUUACUCUGUUCAGAAGCAAAAUCAUAUUCCGCUGCUCCAUCCACUCCGUCCAGGAACAUCAUGGCAGAUCUGUGGACGGCAUCACCACAACCAUAGAUGGUCUAAUCUCGAGGUGAAAAUACUCUCUUUGUCUCUCAAUUAUGUUAACUAAAUAGUUACUUGAUUUGAUGUUGGUUAGGAUUUGUGUGGAGUAAGCAACUAUUCUGUUUGACCACUGCCAGCUACUUCUAAUUUUUGUUAGUCCCAUUCUGCAACUACAACUUGCACAAUAAGAACAUUCAGAUAAUGUUGCAUGUUCUGUCAUUGAUUGGCCAACUCAUUAUCUUCUUCUUUUGACCAUUUUGGAGAGGAAACCAAAAGAGGAGAAGAAGGCAGCUGAAGAGCAUGCUGCCGAAGUGAAGGGUUCUGGCAAGAAGAAAGAAAGAAUGUUAUCCUACAUUCUUUGUAUUUUACUCACAUUUAUAACUUUGCACUAAACUUUAUUGUGAAGCAUGUUUGUUUGUAAUAUUGUCUUUAGCAAUAGAAGAUUUUUAUAGCUUCAAUCUGCUAUGUGGAAGAAUAUUGGCAUUACUAAUUUCUCAAAAAUAAAAACACUUGCUUUUGCAGCACCGUCAUGUUGAUCAGUGAGAGGUGAACCAAUGAAUUCAUAAACAGAAAUGUUUUGUGUUGCUCUUUCAGUUCUGUCUGUUGUGUUUUCAUGUCCAUGCUUGCACAACAGCGGUUCUUCUCCAAGAUGUGCUCUUUAGUAUGGCGUCAGAACAACUAAAUUUUCAGUCAAGAACUAUUUUCUUUUUUUUUCUACUUGCUCACUAAACAAUGCAUUGACGUCCUGUUUCUUUCCCAAUUCCGUCCACUCAUUGCUGAUACAUGGAUUAUUUUGUGCGUUGUAUGCUUUGUACAAGUUUGGCAAUGUCCUUUGUUAUUUAAGAGUUCCAUUCUGCUUUGUUACCGUAGUAACCAUUUGUGACUUGGAUACAAAAUAUUUGGCAUGGGUGGUUGAAUUUAUAAGGACAUGCUAUCUUACUUGCCAUUAUGCAGCCUAUACCAUGCUUGUGUCAUGGCAGUAUUAACCCCUCCAACAUUUGGUAAACGGAAUCAGUUCUAAUAUAAGGAGUUACUUUGAAAAUGUAACAUAUGGAUAUGAAAGGGCUAGUAUAUUUUGUACUGAUUUACAUCAUGUGAUUCAAUACUUUAUCAGGUUUCCACAUUAUUUCUUCAUUUCUUAUUUUUGGUGUGGUGUGCUGCCCCGAUGUGAGUCGACAUGAAGAACCGCAACAUAGUGAAGGAUGAACCAUGGUCUGAUCAGAACUUCUAGAAGAUUGGAAGAAGCGACCAAACCGCAACAUGUAUUGAAAUAUGACUAUGUGUACCAUUAAUUUCAGAGAUUACCGUACGCAAAGACUGAAGGUUCAGUCUUCUUUUCUUUCUUAGAAGCCUAAAAUUCAGAUAUUACCAUACUCAUUAAUUUCUUUACCAAACUGUGAUGUCUUGGUUCCGUACAUAUGUAUCUCACUUAUUCUUGAGCAGAAUAGUGUGUUAUAAUCUGUUUGAUAGAUA